rnacentral:rRNA from 1 species
UGCCAGACUCCUACGGGAGGCAGCAGUGGGGAAUAUUGCACAAUGGGCGCAAGCCUGAUGCAGCAACGCCGCGUGAGCGAAGAAGGUCUUCGGAUCGUAAAGCUCUGUCCUUGAGGAAGAAGGAAGUGACGGUACUCAAGGAGGAAGCCCCGGCUAACUACGUGCCAGCAGCCGCGGUAAUACGUAGGGAGCAAGCGUUGUCCGGAAUUACUGGGCGUAAAGGGCGCGUAGGUGGGUGCUUAAGUCAGGUGUGAAAACUCUGGGCUCAACCUGGAGACUGCACUUGAAACUGGGUAUCUUGAGGGCAGGAGAGGAAAGUGGAAUUCCUAGUGUAGCGGUGAAAUGCGUAGAUAUUAGGAGGAACACCAGUGGCGAAGGCGACUUUCUGGACUGUACCUGGCGCUGAGGCGCGAAAGCGUGGGUAGCGAACGGGAUUAGAUACCCCUGUA